CCUGCGUGCCUCGGUGUUGAUUGGAAUGACAUCAUCAGCCAGGAAGUCCAGGGCACUGCUGGUCUUUGCUGGUUUCGACUCACUGCAGACACAAAAAUCAAAGUUUGAAAACUGCAUAUCCAACUCUGGACGAGGGCUUGGGCGGGAAAGAGCUCUUCCUAUACCUGUCUCGUCCGCCGAGCAGAUCCUGGCUCCAGCGUCCCGGGCUGGGAGGGGGGGCGGGCUCUGCAGACGCCUCUGGACUGCGGAGGCGGAAGGAAGCGGGGAAGAGGAAGCGGAGAAGUACCUGGGUGAACUCGUGUCGAAAGAAAUGAGAGUGUCGGACAAGGCGGCGCUGGAGAGGGGUCUCCUUUCUCAGGUUCUGGGGAAACCUCGUCCUUCUUCUCCUCCACCUUUUGCGCCACUGGCUCUUUAACCGCAACAUCAGCAGCUGUCUUAACGCUGCCAUUGGCUCUGUCAACCACAAAGACAAUGAAUGAAAUUGGCUGGACCGUAUUGGCUUGUCGACUGAAAAUAUAAACAUCGCUGGAGACUCACAUUUUCUGUGGUUCGGCCUGAGGUGUGGAGGAAACCGCCGUAACGGGGACAGUGCUGGCAGGUGCUGCAGAGAUAUGAGAGGGAGGAUUUACCUCUUAGCCACAAAUGAUGGGGUGUCUGGUUCUUCCACUUUAGCCCUGCAGUGUUUUAAAACACAGCUUUGGGCAGACCUCAGAUGGCUUCUUGUUGAACUGGUUCACUCCACUGUAAAAGGAAAAAAAAGAGAUGGCAUCAUUGUGGGAACUGAAGUGGAAUAAAGUGCAUUUUUUAGUCACACCAUUAA